rnacentral:rRNA from 1 species
GACAGAGGGUGCAAGCGUUGUUCGGAAUUACUGGGCGUAAAGCGAGUGUAGGCGGUGUGGUAAGUCGGAUGUGAAAGCCCCGGGCUCAACCCGGGAAGUGCACUCGAUACUGCCACGCUAGAGUAUCGGAGAGGUUGGUGGAAUUCUCGGUGUAGAGGUGAAAUUCGUAGAUAUCGAGAGGAACACCGGUGGCGAAGGCGGCCAACUGGACGAAUACUGACGCUGAGACUCGAAAGCGUGGGGAGCAAACAGG